UGGGGAAUCUUGCGCAAUGGACGAAAGUCUGACGCAGCGACGCCGCGUGGGUGAUGAAGGCCUUCGGGUUGUAAAGCCCUGUGGGGGGAGACGAAUAAGUGCAAGCGAAUACCUUGCAUGAUGACGGUAUCUCCUUAGCAAGCACCGGCUAACUCUGUGCCAGCAGCCGCGGUAAGACAGAGGGUGCAAACGUUGUUCGGAAUUACUGGGCGUAAAGCGUGUGUAGGCUGCCCUAUAAGUCGGAUGUGAAAGCCCCAGGCUCAACCUGGGAAGUGCACUCGAUACUGUAGGGCUUGAGUAUCGGAGAGGUUGGUGGAAUUCUCGGUGUAGAGGUGAAAUUCGUAGAUAUCGAGAGGAACACCGGUGGCGAAGGCGGCCAACUGGACGAAUACUGACGCUGAGACACGAAAGCGUGGGGAGCAAACAG
rnacentral:rRNA from 1 species